CCAGACUCCUACGGGAGGCAGCAGUGGGGAAUUUUGGACAAUGGGCGAAAGCCUGAUCCAGCAAUGCCGCGUGAGUGAAGAAGGCCUUCGGGUUGUAAAGCUCUUUUGUCAGGGAAGAAACGGUUGUCUCUAAUACAGAUGGCUAAUGACGGUACCUGAAGAAUAAGCACCGGCUAACUACGUGCCAGCAGCCGCGGUAAUACGUAGGGUGCAAGCGUUAAUCGGAAUUACUGGGCGUAAAGCGUGCGCAGGCGGUUAUGUAAGACAGAUGUGAAAUGCCCGGGCUUAACCUGGGAACUGCAUUUGUGACUGCAUGGCUAGAGUUUGGCAGAGGGGGGUAGAAUUCCACGUGUAGCAGUGAAAUGCGUAGAUAUGUGGAGGAACACCGAUGGCGAAGGCAGCCCCCUGGGUCAAGACUGACGCUCAUGCACGAAAGCGUGGGGAGCAAACAGGAUUAGAUACCCUGGUAGUCCACGCCCUAAACGAUGUCUACUAGUUGUCGGGUCUUAAUUGACUUGGUAACGCAGCUAACGCGUGAAGUAGACCGCCUGGGGAGUACGGUCGCAAGAUUAAAACUCAAAGGAAUUGACGGGGACCCGCACAAGCGGUGGAUGAUGUGGAUUAAUUCGAUGCAACGCGAAAAACCUUACCUACCCUUGACAUGGCUGGAAUCCCUGAGAGAUUGGGGAGUGCUCGAAAGAGAACCAGUACACAGGUGCUGCAUGGCUGUCGUCAGCUCGUG
rnacentral:rRNA from 1 species